GACGAACGCUGGCGGCGUGCUUAACACAUGCAAGUCGAACGGAAAGGCCCUGCUUUUGUGGGGUGCUCGAGUGGCGAACGGGUGAGUAACACGUGAGUAACCUGCCCUUGACUUUGGGAUAACUUCAGGAAACUGGGGCUAAUACCGGAUAGGAGCUCCUGCUGCAUGGGGGGGGUUGGAAAGUUUCGGCGGUUGGGGAUGGACUCGCGGCUUAUCAGCUUGUUGGUGGGGUAGUGGCUUACCAAGGCUUUGACGGGUAGCCGGCCUGAGAGGGUGACCGGCCACAUUGGGACUGAGAUACGGCCCAGCCUCCUACGGGAGGCAGCAGUGGGGAAUAUUGAACAAUGGGCGGAAGCCUGAUGCAGCACCGCCGCGUGCGGGAUGACGGCCUUCGGGUUGUAAACCGCUUUCGCCUGUGACGAAGCGUGAGUGACGGUAAUGGGUAAAGAAGCACCGGCUAACUACGUG
rnacentral:rRNA from 1 species